GACUCCGUAGCUUAAAGGAAUAGAAGCGCCCGUCUAGCGAAUUGGGAGUCGUGAGUUAAAGUCUCACCGGAGUAC
rfam:Aedes albopictus isolate Foshan contig1957, whole genome shotgun sequence.